GUGCUUGAUUACGAGGAAGCCAACGGCCUGACAAUAAGACCCUGAGCACCUUUCCUUCUCU
rnacentral:rRNA from 1 species